UACGUAGGUGGCAAGCGUUGUCCGGAUUUACUGGGCGUAAAGGAUGCGUAGGCGGAUGUUUAAGUGAGAUGUGAAAUACCCGAGCUCAACUUGGGUGCUGCAUUUCAAACUGGAUAUCUAGAGUGCAGGAGAGGAAAGCGGAAUUCCUAGUGUAGCGGUGAAAUGCGUAGAGAUUAGGAAGAACACCAGUGGCGAAGGCGGCUUUCUGGACUGUAACUGACACUGAGGCGCGAAAGCGUGGGGAGCAAACAGG
rnacentral:rRNA from 1 species